GACGAACGCUGGCGGCGUGCUUAACACAUGCAAGUCGAGCGGUAAGGCCCUUUCGGGGGUACACGAGCGGCGAACGGGUGAGUAACACGUGGGUGACCUGCCCUCAGCUCUGGGAUAAGCCUGGGAAACCGGGUCUAAUACCGGAUAUGACUCCAUGACGCAUGUUGUGGGGUGGAAAGCCUUGUGCGGCUGAGGAUGGGCCCGCGGCCUAUCAGCUUGUUGGUGGGGUGAUGGCCUACCAAGGCGACGACGGGUAGCCGGCCUGAGAGGGCGACCGGCCACACUGGGACUGAGACACGGCCCAGACUCCUACGGGAGGCAGCAGUGGGGAAUCUUGCGCAAUGGGGCG
rnacentral:rRNA from 1 species